AACGAACGCUGGCGGCAGGCCUAACACAUGCAAGUCGAACGCUCCGCAAGGAGAGUGGCAGACGGGUGAGUAACACGUGGGAAUCUUCCUAUCGGUGCGGAAUAGCUCAGGGAAACUUGAGGUAAUACCGCAUACGCCCUCAGGGGGAAGGAUUUAUCGACGAUAGAUGAGCCCGCGUCUGAUUAGCUAGUUGGUGGUGUAAUGGCCCACCAAGGCGACGAUCAGUAGCUGGGCUGAGAGGAUGACCAGCCACACUGGGACUGAGACACGGACCAGACUCCUACGGAAGGCAGCAGUGGGGAAUAUUGGACAAUCGGGGCAACCCUGAUCCAGCCAUGCCGCGUGAGUGAUGAAGGCCGUAGGGUUGUAAAACUCUUUUGUCCGGGAAGAUAAUGACUGUACCGGAAGAAUAAGCCCCGGCUAACUUCGUGCCAGCAGCCGCCGUAACAC
rnacentral:rRNA from 1 species